GUCGUACGCUGUUUCCUGUAUUGGAUUUUAGGUGCUUGCAUUGUCAUGAUGCAGCGGGAAACUAGUGGCGUAACUGGUGAGUAACACGUGGGUAACCUGCCCUUGAAGUAGGGGAUAACACUUGGAAACAGGUGCUGAUACCGUGUAACAACCAAAACCACAUGGUUUUGGUUUAAAAGAUGGCUUCGGCUAUCACUUUAGGAUGGACCCGCGGCGUAUUAGCUUGUUGGUAAGGUAAUGGCCUACCAAGGCAAUGAUACGUAGCCGACCUGAGAGGGUAAUCGGCCACAUUGGGACUGAGACACGGCCCAAACUCCUACGGGAGGCAGCAGUAGGGAAUCUUCCACAAUGGACGAAAGUCUGAUGGAGCAACGCCGCGUGAGUGAUGAAGGGUUUCGGCUCGUAAAACUCUGUUGUUGGAGAAGAACAGGUGUCAGAGUAACUGUUGACAUCUUGACGGUAUCCAACCAGAAAGCCACGGCUAACUACGUGCCAGCAGCCGCGGUAAUACGUAGGUGGCAAGCGUUGUCCGGAUUUAUUGGGCGUAAAGCGAGCGCAGGCGGUUUCUUAGGUCUGAUGUGAAAGCCUUCGGCUUAACCGGAGAAGUGCAUCGGAAACCAGGAGACUUGAGUGCAGAAGAGGACAGUGGAACUCCAUGUGUAGCGGUGAAAUGCGUAGAUAUAUGGAAGAACACCAGUGGCGAAAGCGGCUGUCUGGUCUGUAACUGACGCUGAGGCUCGA
rnacentral:rRNA from 1 species